UAGUGAACCUGCGGAAGAUCAUAU
rnacentral:rRNA from 1 species